AUUGAACGCUGGCGGCAGGCCUAACACAUGCAAGUCGAACGGCAGCACAGAGAGCUUGCUCUCGGGUGACGAGUGGCGGACGGGUGAGUAACGUCUGGGAAACUGCCCGAUGGAGGGGGAUAACUACUGGAAACGGUAGCUAAUACCGCAUAACGUCGCAAGACCAAAGUGGGGGACCUUCGGGCCUCACACCAUCGGAUGUGCCCAGAUGGGAUUAGCUAGUAGGUGGGGUAAUGGCUCACCUAGGCGACGAUCCCUAGCUGGUCUGAGAGGAUGACCAGCCACACUGGAACUGAGACACGGUCCAGACUCCUACGGGAGGCAGCAGUGGGGAAUAUUGCACAAUGGGCGCAAGCCUGAUGCAGCCAUGCCGCGUGCAUGAAGAAGGCCUUCGGGUUGUAAAGUACUUUCAGCGGGGAGGAAGGCGGUGAAGUUAAUAACUUCACCGAUUGACGUUACCCGCAGAAGAAGCACCGGCUAACUCCGUGCCAGCCGCCGCGGUAA
rnacentral:rRNA from 1 species